UACGUAGGGGGCUAGCGUUGUCCGGAUUUAUUGGGCGUAAAGAGCGUGUAGGCGGUUCGGUAGGUCCGUUGUGAAAACUCGAGGCUCAACCUCGAGACGCCGAUGGAAACCCUCGAACUAGAGUCCGGAAGAGGAGAGUGGAAUUCCUGGUGUAGCGGUGAAAUGCGCAGAUAUCAGGAAGAACACCCGUGGCUAAGGCGGCUCUCUAGUACGGUACUGACGCUGAGACGCGAAAGCGUGGGGAGCGAACAGG
rnacentral:rRNA from 1 species